rnacentral:tRNA from 1 species
AUUCAAAUAGUCUUAUAUAGAGAAUAACAUUGAAGCUGUUAAGGAGAUAUUUAUAUCUUUGAAU